rnacentral:rRNA from 1 species
UGGGGAAUAUUGGACAAUGGGCGAAAGCCUGAUCCAGCAAUGCCGCGUGAGUGAUGAAGGCCUUAGGGUUGUAAAGCUCUUUUACCCGGGAUGAUAAUGACAGUACCGGGAGAAUAAGCUCCGGCUAACUCCGUGCCAGCAGCCGCGGUAAUACGGAGGGAGCUAGCGUUAUUCGGAAUUACUGGGCGUAAAGCGCACGUAGGCGGCUUUGUAAGUUAGAGGUGAAAGCCUGGAGCUCAACUCCAGAAUUGCCUUUAAGACUGCAUCGCUUGAAUCCAGGAGAGGUGAGUGGAAUUCCGAGUGUAGAGGUGAAAUUCGUAGAUAUUCGGAAGAACACCAGUGGCGAAGGCGGCUCACUGGACUGGUAUUGACGCUGAGGUGCGAAGCGUGGGGAGCAACAGGAUUAGAUACCCUGGUAGUCCACGCCGUAACGAUGAUAACUAGCUGUCGGGGCUCUUAGAGCUUCGGUGGCGCAGCUAACG